rnacentral:snRNA from 1 species
GGCUGUGAGGGCGAUCUAAUCUGGCUUUAUCUGUCACCUCAUUGAUAGCCAGAGUUGAUUUAGUGGCUCUGGCUGGUGAGGCAGGUGUCCCCUUUCUUCUUCAUUGCGCCAUGUGUGUCCAUCGUGGUUGAAAAGGACGACUUUGCUCUAACAGGAGGACUAUUCUUUGAUAAGGAUAUAACAGUAACUAUGCUGCCCUUCGCUCUCCAAACGACCUCUGAAGAUUCUAGGGUCAAUCCAUAGUACGGUUCUCUUUUGGGGGGGGCGGUGGGAGGGAUACAUGGUUUUGAAUGUUACGCCUUGCCCUGUUCA